GAUGAACGCUGGCGGCGUGCCUGAUACAUGCAAGUCGAGCGAACAGAUGAGGAGCUUGCUCCUCUGACGUUAGCGGCGGACGGGUGAGUAACACGUGGAUAACCUACCUAUAAGACUGGGAUAACUUCGGGAAACCGGAGCUAAUACCGGAUAAUAUAUUGAACCGCAUGGUUCAAUAGUGAAAGACGGUUUUGCUGUCACUUAUAGAUGGAUCCGCGCCGCAUUAGCUAGUUGGUAAGGUAACGGCUUACCAAGGCGACGAUGCGUAGCCGACCUGAGAGGGUGAUCGGCCACACUGGAACUGAGACACGGUCCAGACUCCUACGGGAGGCAGCAGUAGGGAAUCUUCCGCAAUGGGCGAAAGCUUGACGGAGCAACGCCGCGUGAGUGAUGAAGGUCUUCGGAUCGUAAAACUCUGUUAUUAGGGAAGAACAAAUGUGUAAGUAACUAUGCACGUCUUGACGGUACCUAAUCAGAAAGCCACGGCUAACUACGUG
rnacentral:rRNA from 1 species